GACGAACGCUGGCGGCGUGCUUAACACAUGCCAGUCGAACGGAAAGGCCCUGCUUUUGUGGGGUGCUCGAGUGGCGAACGGGUGAGUAACACGUGAGUAACCUGCCCUUGACUUUGGGAUAACUUCAGGAAACUGGGGCUAAUACCGGCUAGGAGCUCCUGCUGCAUGGUGGGGGUUGGAAAGUUUCGGCGGUUGGGGAUGGACUCGCGGCCUAUCAGCUUGUUGGUGGGGUAGUGGCUUACCAAGGCUUUGACGGGUAGCCGGCCUGAGAGGGUGACCGGACACAUUGGGACUGAGAUAAGGCCCAGACUCCUACGGGAGGCAGCGGUGGGGAAUAUUGCACAAUGGGCGGAAGCCUGAUGCAGCAACGCCGCGUGCGGGAUGACGGCCUUCGGGUUGUAAACCGCUUUCGCCUGUGACGAAGCGUGAGUGACGGUAAUGGGUAAAGAAGCACCGGCUAACUACGUG
rnacentral:rRNA from 1 species